rnacentral:rRNA from 1 species
UACGUAGGCAGCAAGCGUUGUUCGGAAUUACUGGGCGUAAAGAGUGUGUAGGCGGUGCUCUAAAGUCUGUUGUGAAAUCUCCCGGCUUAACCGGGAGGGUGCGGCGGAAACUGGAGUGCUUGAGGGUGGGAGAGGUAAGCGGAAUUCCUGGUGUAGCAGUGAAAUGCGCAGAUAUCAGGAAGAACACCCGUGGCUAAGGCGGCUCUCUAGUACGGUACUGACGCUGAGACGCGAAAGCGUGGGGAGCGAACAGG